UAUUAUGAAUAAGCAAAGAAAGUGGUUUCUUGAGAUGGAAUCUACUCCUGAUGAAGUUGCUGUGAA
rnacentral:pre_miRNA from 1 species